rnacentral:rRNA from 1 species
GUUUGUUGGUGGGGUAAUGGCCUACCAAGACUUUGAUCAAUAGCUGAUUUGAGAGGAUGAUCAGCCACAUUGGGACUGAGACACGGCCCAAACUCCUACGGGAGGCAGCAGUGGGGAAUCUUGCACAAUGGAGGAAACUCUGAUGCAGCGAUGCCGCGUGAGUGAAGAAGGCCCUUGGGUUGUAAAGCUCUUUCGUCGGGGAAGAAAAUGACUGUACCCGAAUAAGAAGGUCCGGCUAACUUCGUGCCAGCAGCCGCGGUAAUACGAAGGGACCUAGCGUAGUUCGGAAUUACUGGGCUUAAAGAGUUCGUAGGUGGUUGAAAAAGUUGGUGGUGAAAUCCCAGAGCUUAACUCUGGAACUGCCAUCAAAACUUUUCAGCUAGAGUAUGAUAGAGGAAAGCAGAAUUUCUAGUGUAGAGGUGAAAUUCGUAGAUAUUAGAAAGAAUACCAAUUGCGAAGGCAGCUUUCUGGAUCAUUACUGACGCUGAGGAACGAAAGCAUGGGUAGCGAAGAGGAUUAGAUACCCUCGUAGUCCAUGCCGUAAACGAUGUGUGUUAGACGUUGGAAAUUUAUUUUCAGUGUCGCAGUGAAAGCGAUAAACACACCGCCUGGGGAGUACGACCGCAAGGUUAAAACUCAAAUGAAUUGACGGGGACCCGCACAAGUAGUGGAGCAUGUGGUUUAAUUCGAAGAUACGCGCAGAACCUUACCAACACUUGACAUGUUCGUCGCGACUCUAAGAGAUUAGAGUUUUCGGUUCGGCCGGACGAAACACAGGUGCUGCAUGGCUGUCGUCAGCUCGUGUCGUGAGAUGUUGGGUUAAGUCCCGCAACGAGCGCAACCCUCACUU